rnacentral:rRNA from 1 species
AUUGAACGCUGGCGGCAGGCCUAACACAUGCAAGUCGAGCGGAUGAUGGGAGCUUGCUCCUGGAUUCAGCGGCGGACGGGUGAGUAAUGCCUAGGAAUCUGCCUAGUAGUGGGGGACAACGUUUCGAAAGGAACGCUAAUACCGCAUACGUCCUACGGGAGAAAGCAGGGGACCUUCGUGCCCUGCGGUAUCAGAUGAGCCUAGGUCGGAUUAGCUUGUUGGUGAGGUAAUGGCUCACCAAGGCGACGAUCCGUAACUGGUCUGAGAGGAUGAUCAGUCACACUGGAACUGAGACACGGUCCAGACUCCUACGGGAGGCAGCAGUGGGGAAUAUUGGACAAUGGGCGAAAGCCUGAUCCAGCCAUGCCGCGAGUGUGAAGAAGGUCUUCGGAUUGUAAAGCACUUUAAGUUGGGAGGAAGGGUCGUAGAUUAAUACUCUGCAAUUUUGACGUUACCGACAGAAUAAGCACCGGCUAACUCUGUGCCAGCCGCCGCAGUAA